CCUACGGGAGGCAGCAGUGGGGGAUAUUGCACAAUGGGGGAAACCCUGAUGCAGCGACGCCGCGUGAGUGAAGAAGUAUUUCGGUAUGUAAAGCUCUAUCAGCAGGGAAGAAAAUGACUGUACCUGUCCACUAAGCCCCGGCUAACUCCGUUCCAGCCGCCGCGGUACUACGUAGGGGGCAAGCGUUACCCGGAUUUCCUGGGUGUAAAGGUAGCGUAGACGGUUAUGUAAGUCUGGAGUGAAAGCCCGGGGCCCAACCCCGGGACUGCUUUGGAAACUGUGUAACUGGAGUACAGGAGGGGCAGGCGGAAUUCCUGGUGUAGCGGUGAAAUGCGGAGAUAUCAGGAGGAACACCGGCGGCGAAGGCGGCCUGCUGGACUGAAACUGACGUUGAGGCUCGAAAGCGUGGGGAGCAAACAGGAUUAGAUACCCCUGUAGUC
rnacentral:rRNA from 1 species